GAUGAACGCUGGCGGCGUGCCUAAUACAUGCAAGUCGAGCGAACAGACGAGGAGCUUGCUCCUCUGACGUUAGCGGCGGACGGGUGAGUAACACGUGGAUAACCUACCUAUAAGACUGGGAUAACUUCGGGAAACCGGAGCUAAUACCGGAUAAUAUAUUGAACCGCAUGGUUCAAUAGUGAAAGACGGUUUUGCUGUCACUUAUAGAUGGAUCCGCGCCGCAUUAGCUAGUUGGUAAGGUAACGGCUUACCAAGGCAACGAUGCGUAGCCGACCUGAGAGGGUGAUCGGCCACACUGGAACUGAGACACGGUCCAGACUCCUACGGGAGGCAGCAGUAGGGAAUCUUCCGCAAAGGGCGAAAGCCUGACGGAGCAACGCCGCGUGAGUGAUGAAGGUCUUCGGAUCGUAAAACUCUGUUAUUAGGGAUGAACAAAUGUGUAAGUAACUAUGCACGUCUUGACGGUACCUAAUCAGAAAGCCACGGCUAACUACGUG
rnacentral:rRNA from 1 species